AUGGAGAAGUGGACACUAUUUCCUAAUUCUUAAAACUCUUUCUUUCUUAAUAGGACGAACGUACAAUGAUCUCAACCAAUACCCUGUAUUUCCAUGGGUUUUAACAAACUAUGAAUCUGAAGAGUUAGACCUGACCCUUCCAGGCAACUUCAGAGAUCUUUCAAAGCCUAUUGGUGCUUUGAACCCAAAGAGAGCAGUCUUCUAUGCAGAAAGGUAUGAGACAUGGGAAGAUGAUCAGACUCCACCUUAUCAUUACAACACCCACUACUCUACAUCUACUUCUACAUUGGCAUGGCUUGUUCGUAUUGAGCCCUUUACAACAUUCUUUCUAAAUGCAAAUGAUGGCAAAUUUGACCACCCAGAUCGAACCUUCUCUUCAGUAGCCAGGUCUUGGAGGAACAGCCAAAGAGAUACCUCCGAUGUGAAGGAGUUAAUUCCAGAGUUUUACUACCUACCAGAGAUGUUUGUCAACAGUAAUGGCUAUAACCUAGGAAUCAGGGAAGAUGAAGUUGUUGUGAAUGAUGUUGAUCUCCCCCCAUGGGCCAAGAAGCCUGAAGACUUUGUUCGUAUCAACAGGAUGGCUCUGGAAAGUGAGUUUGUAUCAUGUCAACUUCAUCAGUGGAUUGACCUUAUAUUUGGCUACAAGCAACGAGGGCCAGAAGCAGUGCGUGCACUCAACGUUUUCCACUACCUAACGUAUGAGGGCUCUGUGAACCUGGACAGUAUCACUGACCCUGUCCUCAGGGAGGCCAUGGAGGCGCAGAUACAGAACUUUGGACAGACGCCAUCGCAGUUGCUCAUUGAGCCCCAUCCACCUCGGAGCUCUGCCAUGCACCUGUGUUUCCUUCCACAGAGCCCCCUCAUGUUUAAAGAUCAGAUGCAGCAGGAUGUCAUCAUGGUGCUGAAGUUCCCAUCCAAUUCCCCCGUCACACACGUGGCAGCCAACACGCUGCCCCACCUGACCAUCCCUGCCGUGGUGACUGUCACUUGCAGCAGGUUGUUUGCAGUCAAUCGGUGGCACAACACAGUAGGUCUUCGGGGAGCUCCAGGAUAUUCUUUGGAUCAAGCUCAUCAUCUUCCAAUUGAAAUGGAUCCAUUGAUUGCCAAUAACUCUGGUGUGAACAAACGGCAGAUCACAGACCUUGUGGAUCAGAGCAUACAGAUCAAUGCACACUGCUUCGUGGUCACAGCAGAUAAUCGCUACAUUCUUAUCUGUGGUUUCUGGGAUAAGAGCUUUCGAGUUUAUUCUACAGAAACAGGAAAAUUGACUCAGAUUGUGUUUGGCCACUGGGAUGUCGUGACCUGCCUGGCCAGGUCGGAGUCCUAUAUCGGCGGCGACUGCUACAUCGUCUCCGGCUCUCGUGACGCCACCUUGCUGCUCUGGUACUGGAGUGGCCGACAUCACAUUAUCGGUGACAAUCCAAACAGCAGUGACUAUCCAGCUCCUCGCGCUGUUCUAACUGGUCAUGACCAUGAGGUUGUCUGUGUGUCAGUCUGUGCAGAGCUGGGAUUGGUUAUCAGUGGUGCUAAAGAAGGCCCUUGUCUGGUACACACAAUUACUGGAGAUUUGCUGAGAGCCCUGGAAGGAACAGAGAACUGCUUGUAUCCUCGCUUAAUUUCAGUAUCUAGUGAAGGUCACUGCAUCAUCUACUAUGAACGAGGACGGUUCAAAAUGGCAAACUCUUAGCUCAGAUGGAGAUCAAUGAUUCAACCAGGGCCAUCCUCCUGAGCAGCGAUGGGCAGAACCUGGUGACAGGGGGAGACAAUGGUGUCGUGGAAGUGUGGCAAGCCUGUGACUUCAAGCAGCUCUAUAUUUACCCUGGCUGUGAUGCUGGCAUAAGAGCUAUGGAUCUGUCUCAUGAUCAGAGAACUCUGAUUACUGGCAUGGCUUCUGGCAGCAUCGUAGCUUUUAAUAUAGAUUUUAACCGGUGGCAUUAUGAACAUCAGAACAGAUACUGAAGUGGAAUGAAGAACUGAAAGCCCAGGUAAAGCUGAGAGCACAAGUGCUGCAAUGAAAGGUGUAGUCUCUGGUGGAAAAACACGUCUGCAUUGACCUCCGUUGUACAUUCCAUUACACCCAGCAAUAGCUGUACAUUGUAGUCAGCAACCAUUUUACUUUGUGUGUUUUUUCACAACUGAACACCAGCUGCUGAACAGCAAGCUUGUAUCAUGUAAAUUAUAUGAAUUAGAAGAUGUUUUGGUAAUUAUUUCAUAUAUCUUUGUUUAUUGAGAAAAGGUAGUAGGAUGCGCCACAAGAGACUUUUGAAAAUUCUGGGGAACCUCGUGUCCAGUUAUUUCAAUGUUUAGGCUUUGAACCUAACAUGCAUCCCAUCUCCAGCCUCUUUUCAAGCUGAGAUUAAAAAAAUACGUUUGAUACUUUGUACAUCAGAUGCACAUCUUAACUUUAAAGGGAUACUUUUGUAAAAGUAAAACCUUGUAUAAAGAACAAAACUGUUUCUUAAUUUUAUUGUGGAGUUACAACUUGCAUGUACUUUAAACCUGAUGUCAUGAAGGAACAGGUGCAUUCACACAAAUCAAACUGGAGAUCUGCCGAAGGGUACAGCUUGUGUUAAAGGGUUGAAUUUGGGCUCAAACAGUAGUUUUGACAUUUCCACCAACACGUUUUUCACUUUUUGGAUCUCAACUUUACCCCUCUUAAGUGGAGUUCUGCUCAUGAAGCGUUUGGAUAAAAAGCCAUCAUUUGCCAUAUUUAUACUUUAUACAAUAGAAAUUAAAUUCCUCCCUUUUAAAUUCAAAGACUAGACAGAAAAGGAACAAAGAGAGAAGUUCAGUUUAAUGCUUUGCAAUGCUUAAUGACUCCCAAUACAGAAAAAGUGCUAUACUUCUGGAUUAUAAACAUUUGGCAUACAAAUCAUGGGCGAGAGCCCACAGUGAUUUUUUUUCCCCCUUAUUUUUCCUCUGAGCAGCUGAGUUUAUUUGACAGCCUUAGCUUCAUUGUAAAGGUGGCUGAGGUUGUUAUUUUUGGUUCUUCUGAAAAUCUCACCCAAAGCCACUCGGAGUCAGAAACUUCAUGUUUUACAAUACUGUAAUUAUAACUAUCGGAAUAAUUUUCUGCACAUUGUACUGAUCAAAUUACACACCCAGGGGUACAUACACUUUAAUUCAUGUUUCUUCUUUGUAUAUUUGGUGACUGUAUUGUCAUAGAUGUACAUAUUGUGUCGGUAGGGCUAUGAGGCAUGUAACAGGAAUGUAAUUUUCUCAGAAUUUACACUCACUUGCAGUCAUUUAUUUAAAAAGAUAAUGGAUUCUUUGUAUUGGCACUUUGCACCAGAAACAUAUCAUUAUUUAUUGAUGUGAUUACUUAUUUGUUAUCCACCUUGUAUUAGUAAGUUUAGCACUGAAUUUCCUUCUCCAUUGUUGUUUGUAUUUAUAAGGUUCAGAAGUCAUGGGGAUCAACGUAAUGAUUAAGUUAUUCAUCACCCGUCUGUAAGCAAUAUCUUGAGUUUGUAGCUUAGAAUUGGGAGACUAUUGAACAUCUGGAAGACAAGUUCAUUUCAUCUUGAGAUCAUGGUGAAAUAUUUUGGAUAUAUAAAUUCCUUAAGCUAUUGUAACCAUGUUUUAUUGCAAAGAUGUAAAAUAUGCCAGAUGUGUGUGAGUUGGAAAUCAAAAAGAAAAAUAAAAUAUGC